GCACUGGCUAAUCAAUUGGCACAGGAUGUGCAGGAUAUUAAAGCCCGUUUGAUGAGGAAGAAAAAGAGUGAAAGAGAAGGAAACAGAAUGUCUAAAUGCUCACUAGUGAAAGCAGCGUCUAUCCUCAACAUGACAGAAACAGACCUGGUGAACAUGCUGGACACAGAUGAAUGUGAGGAGGCGUUUGUGGGUCGUGGGCCAGACACAGAUUGGGCUGAACAUGUACAACACAUCCUUCAGCAGCAGAUCCCCUCUGCAGGCCUGCUGAUGGACGCCAUGCUGGUGAAGAUGAAGGAGGGCAAAGUGCUGACAGAGGAACUGGCUGCACUUACAGCCGCAGUCAGCAAAAAACGCCUGACCGGAGGAAAAAAAAAGACAGAGAGGGAGCAAGAGACUGUAAUACUUCUGUAAGAUGGAGUGUGCCCUGCAUGGCAGCGGAAGCCCCUUGUCUACACAGUACUCCACCCGUUUUCUGCUCUUACCCUCUUGUAGUCCUGUGCCUCACACAACAAAAUCUUGAUACAACUUAAAAUGCUUUUUAUGAAAGGCCUUUAAAAAACAUUGACUGGUUGGUGGAUGAAAAGAUACAGUACUUGAAAAGCAACAUUUUUGUGUUUUAUUUGAAUUUUACAGAUUGCAAAGACUACUUUUUGAAAUUGAGUAUCAAAUGUUGGGGAGAGUACUAUUUCUUUAUUUGAUCUAAUAUUUUACUUGUAUGUAAAUGAUUGUGCAGUUGAUUUUUUUUUUUUUUACCUGCACAUAUUUUAAACAUAUUAGCAUGUCGGUGUAAAUUCACACCUCUGUUUAUUUGGUCACAGCAAACGUCAGUCAAAAUCAAGGCUGAAGUUGCAUAAUCAACAUUCUGCAAGAAUUUCAUAUUUAAAUAAUUAAACAAAUUCUGGUCACAUCAUCCUGCUCGUCUCUUUCUUGUGUGAAUUGUAUGGUGGUAUUAAUUUGUUUUUAGCUAAUUUGUUUUUGUAUGCAUCCUUGUCUUUAAUUAUCAAUAAUAUUGG
rnacentral:lncRNA from 1 species